GCCACUCCCACAAACGUCUACGACCGCACCUACAUAUUUUUGCAUGUUUACAAUAAAUUCUAAUUUUAAACAGCCAGUCGACGUUUAAUUGUAAUUGUUACCAAGAAACGGAUUGGCUGUUCAAAAUUGGAAUUGUAAACAUGCAAAAAUAUGUAGGUGCGGUCGUAGACGUGCGUGGGAGUGGC